rnacentral:lncRNA from 1 species
GGGGGGGGAUUUUAGAGUAAAAUGGGAAGGGAAAUAUAGUUGGGGUCAAGGAGUAGAAACUGUCCCGAUGGAAGUUAUGGGGUACCCCACAUACAUAUGACCCUAGUCCGAGAUUUCUCUGACGUCCAACGGCUGUUUUGCCAGACAAGCUGGGGCUAAUCUCGGACUAAUAUGAACCUAACUUGGCUACGAAAUAAGUUAUUAAAAAUGAUGAUUAAAAAAGACUAAUUCAUUGACACUAACCAUUGCUAACGGUAGCGUAAAAAUGAC